UACGUAGGGUGCGAGCGUUGUCCGGAAUUAUUGGGCGUAAAGAGCGUGUAGGCGGCCACACAGGUCUGCUGUGAAAACUCGAGGCUCAACCUCGAGCUGUCGGUGGAAACCGUGUGGCUAGAGUCCGGAAGAGGAGAGUGGAAUUCCCGGUGUAGCGGUGAAAUGCGCAGAUAUCGGGAAGAACACCCGUGGCGAAGGCGGCUCUCUGGGACGGUACUGACGCUGAGACGCGAAAGCGUGGGGAGCGAACAGG
rnacentral:rRNA from 1 species